rnacentral:tRNA from 1 species
GCAGCUGUAGCUCAGUCGGUUAGAGCGCCUGAUUGUGGAUCAGGAGGUCGGUGGUUCAAUUCCUCCCAGCUGUACCA